rnacentral:rRNA from 1 species
CCUACGGGUGGCAGCAGUGGGGGAUAUUGCACAAUGGGGGGAACCCUGAUGCAGCGACGCCGCGUGGGUGAAGGAGCGUUUCGGCGCGUAAAGCCCUAUCGGCAGGGAAGAAAAUGACGGUACCUGACCAAGAAGCCCCUGCUAACUACGUGCCAGCAGCCGCGGUAAUACGUAGGGGGCAAGCGUUAUCCGGAUUUACUGGGUGUAAAGGGGGCGCAGACGGCAAUGCAAGCCAGGAGUGAAAGCCCGGGGCCCAACCCCGGGACUGCUCUUGGAACUGCAUGGCUGGAGUGCAGGAGGGGCAGGCGGAAUUCCUGGUGUAGCGGUGAAAUGCGUAGAGAUUAGGAGGAACACCGGUGGCGAAGGCGGCCUGCUGGACUGUAACUGACGUUGAGGCCCGAAGGCGUGGGUAGCAAACAGGAUUAGAUACCCUGGUAGUC